rnacentral:rRNA from 1 species
GUGAGCAGCCAUAUCACCCUGCAGCUCACAGCUGGCGGCCCACUGCAGCUCAGCAGGUGUGAGCCUGGUCAGUACCUGGAUGGGAGACCUCCUGGGAAAGCUGAGGCUGCUCUCC